rnacentral:rRNA from 1 species
GACGAACGCUGGCGGCGUGCUUAACACAUGCAAGUCGAACGAGUGGCGAACGGGUGAGUAAUAUAUCGGAACGUACCGAGUGAUGGGGGAUAACUAAUGGAAAGAAUAGCUAAUACCGCAUAGUAUUGGCGCGGCCGAUAUCUGAUUAGCUGGUUGGUGGGGUAAAGGCCUACCAAGGCGACGAUCAGUAGCGGGUCUGAGAGGAUGAUCGGCAACACGGGAACUGAGACACGGCCCAGACUCCUACGGGGGGCAGCAGUGGGGAAUUUUGGACAAUGGGCGAAAGCCCGAUCCAGCCAUGCCGCGUGUUUGAAGAAGGCCUUGGGGUUUUAAAGGACUUUUAUCAGGGAGGCGGUACCUGAAGAAUAAGCACCGGCUAACUACGUGCCAGCAGCCGCGGUAAUAC